CCCGUUAGGAAACUUUAUAGCCGUGCGCUGCUGACCGUUCACAGCGCCCGGCAGAGGGGCGAGGUUCGCUGCUGCGCCCAGGCCCGAGGCAGGAGCGGCUCCGCUUCCCAGCUGCAGGGCGACCGAGCGGGUCUGGGCGGUGAGAAGGCAGCCCGGCCUCGGGCACGAGACCACGCAGGGUCGCCAUCGCGGUGGUCGCCGGUGAUCCACAGCGUUAGCAAGGUGAUCAGCGCCCCGGAGCACAGCGCGCCCAGGAAGCCGGCGAAGAGGCCGAGCGCCAGCGGCCCGGCCCAGGCUGAGGGGCUGCGCGUGUACGGAGGCUGCGGCAGGCGCUCCACGAUCAGUUCCAACUGGUCCCAGGCGGGCGUAGGGGACGCGGCACGGCGAGCGCGCGGAGCGGUGGAGGGGCUGGGGGCGGGGUCGGGGUCGGGGUCGGGGCCUGGGGCAGGGGCCGGGCCCGGGGCGUGGGCCAUGAUUGGGGCGGGGCCCGGGGCAGGGGCUGGAGCCCUAAGCUGCUGCAUGUAGCUCGCGCCCGACCUCCGCAGCUGCAACGUCGCUUGCUGAUGGAGGUUCUUGGCCAGCUCCCGCGCCACAUCAGGGCGGCCG
rnacentral:lncRNA from 1 species